rnacentral:rRNA from 1 species
UACGUAGGGGGCUAGCGUUGUCCGGAAUCAUUGGGCGUAAAGCGCGCGUAGGCGGCCAGAUAAGUCCGGUGUGAAAGCCACAGGCUCAACCUGUGAAUGCCGCUGGAAACUGUCUGGCUAGAGACCGGGAGAGGUGAGUGGAAUUCCCAGUGUAGCGGUGAAAUGCGUAGAUAUUGGGAGGAACACCAGUGGCGAAGGCGGCUCACUGGACCGGAACUGACGCUGAGGCGCGAAAGCGUGGGGAGCAAACAGG